GGCUGUAGCUCAGUGGUAGAGCGCUUGCCUAGCAUGAUGACAUACUGGGUUCGAUUCUCAGCAUCA
rnacentral:tRNA from 1 species